ACUCAAAUGAAUUGACGGGGGCCCGCACAAGCGGUGGAGCAUGUGGUUUAAUUCGACGCAACGCGCAGAACCUUACCAGCCCUUGACAUGGGCAGUAUGGGCAGGGGAGACCUUGCUCUUCAGUUCGGCUGGCUGCCACACAGGUGCUGCAUGGCUGUCGUCAGCUCGUGUCGUGAGAUGUUGGGUUAAGUCCCGCAACGAGCGCAACCCUCGCCUUCAGUUGCCAUCGGGUAGGGCCGGGCACUCUGAAGGAACUGCCGGUGACAAGCCGGAGGAAGGUGGGGAUGACGUCAAGUCCUCAUGGCCCUUACGGGCUGGGCUACACACGUGCUACAAUGGCGGUGACAAUGGGGCGCGAAAGGGCGACCUGGAGCCGAUCCCAUAAAAGCCGUCUCAGUUCGGAUUGUUCUCUGCAACUCGAGAGCAUGAAGGUGGAAUCGCUAGUAAUCGCGGAUCAGCACGCCGCGGUGAAUACGUUCCCGGGCCUUGUACACACCGCCCGU
rnacentral:rRNA from 1 species